rnacentral:sRNA from 2 species
UGUUAUGCAGCCCACCUGCCAAUGGCAUCCCACGGUACUGUGCUUGUUCUCUUUCUCUUUCCAUCGUUGAUGAAACCCCGGGGUCGAACUAACACCCUAGCCGAUUCACGAACGAACGCAACAGCGAUGGUAAUAUAAUAACAACUAUGCAGAAAGAAGAGCAAGCCCCUUGCUUGUGGCAGCGAAAUGUGGCGGCAUCGGGAAACAACGUGGCGUUCGUCGGGCAGCGGGUGACCUGCAAAAGGUUUUUCACGGGCACCGCAGUCCAGGGCGUAAGCAGACACACAAUGCGCCCAGAGCAUGCUGAUGGAUGCGCCCGACGGAUGCCCUGUCUGUCUGUCUCGGCCCAGAGGAGCUGGACACUGGACAACAAACAACCUGACAGGGCAGGAUCACCAUUUGCUCCGCGGAGGGCAAUGGAUAGUGGAAUGAAUGAAUACUGGUUGCUCAUGGUAUUGGAAACGCU